UGUGUUUGUAAGGGAAGGAUUGGAUUUAAGAGUUAUACGUGAAGAGCUUGAAUUUAAGACCGUCGGUAAUAGGUCUUGAAUCUUGUGUUUGUAAGGAAGGAUUGCAUUUAAGAGUUAUACGUGAAGAGCUUGAAUUUAAGACCGUCGGUAAUAGGUCUUGAAUCUUGUGUUUGUAAGGAAGGAUUGCAUUUAAGAGUUAUACGUGAAGAGCCUGAAUUUAAGACCGUCGGUAAUAGGUCUUGAAUCUUGUGUUUGUAAGGAAGGAUUGCAUUUAAGAGUUAUACGUGAAGAGCUUGAAUUUAAGACCGUCGGUAAUAGGUCUUGAAUCUUGUGUUUGUAAGGAAGGAUUGCAUUUAAGAGUUAUACGUGAAGAGCUUGAAUUUAAGACCGUCGGUAAUAGGUCUUGAAUCUUGUGUUUGUAAGGAAGGAUUGCAGUUCAGAGUAACGCUUAUGUUAACUAUACAACAUACCUUUUGUUAUACGUUUAGAGCUUGAAGUUAGGAGUAUACCGCUAAUAUUAACUACGUCUAUUAAUAUACUUCUUGUUUAUUGAUGAAGUAUAGCUAUGAGAGGCGAAAGGAUGGAGAACGCAAGGAGAGUUGGGGUCAUAUUAACACAUAUUAAAAUCACACAGCAUCAGUUAUACGCGUGGAGAUAAACAGAUUCGCAGACACAGCAUCUUAUCACAGCAUCCCAUAGAAAUAGCUUCACCAUCUCUCUCUCUGUGCGUCACCACCAGAGUCAUGAAAUUACCCCUGGAAAUGCGUAUGGAAGCCUUGUUAAAUAUGUGAGCUUGCUAGACGAAAUGUAUACAGAUUAUGACACUUAAGUUAAUAUCAAGUUCGUCUGUUAAGAAACCCAAAAUAAUUUAAUAGGUGUGAAUUCCAAACAGCCUCCGUCUAACACUUGAUAUAUACGGUACUGGUUACUUGUUCAGAGGUAUCACAAAUCAGUAUAGAACUUCAUAUUAAAAGUUCUAAUAAUAUCAACUGUGUCUAUAAUGUUCUGAAGGAGUGAGUCUCUUUUCCUACAUAUUAAAAGUCACAAUAAUACAACUCUGUCUAUAAUGUUCUGAAGGAGUGAGUCUCUUUUCCUACAUAUUAAAAGUCACAAUAAUACAACUGUGUCUAUUAGAAGCAUUGAACACUCAUAUUCUGAAGGAGUGAGUCUCUUUUCCUACAUAUUAAAAGUCACAAUAAUACAACUGUGUCUAUUAGAAGCAUUGAACACUCAUAUUCUGAAGGAGUGAGUCUCUUUUCCUACAUAUUAAAAGUCACAAUAAUAUCAACUGUGUCUAUAAGAAGCAUUGAACACUCAUAUUCUGAAGGAGUGAGUCUCUUUUCCUACAUAUCAAAAGUCACAAUAAUACAACUGUGUCUAUAAGAAGCAUUGAACACUCAUAUUCUGAAGGAGUGAGUCUCUUUUCCUACAUAUUAAAAGUCUUAAUAAUAUCAACUGUGUCUAUAAGAAGCAUUGAAGAUUAAUAUACUGAAGUAGCGAGUCUCUUAUGCUAUAGCUGAUAUCCCAACGAUGUAUUGAAAGAAAGAAAAAGAAUAUAUUAAGGAAAAUUAAAUUACUUAAAUGCGUAUACAAAAUAGUUAAUAUGGAGAUUGGAAAAGAUAUAUAGUACUCUCUCUCUCUCUCUCUCUCUCUCUCUCUCUCUCUCUCUCUCUCUCUCUCUCUCUCUCUCUCUCUCUCUCUCUCUCUCUCUCUCUCUCUCUCUCUCUCUCUCUCUCUCUCUAUCUAUCUUUCUCUCUCCAUUCCUCCUUCCCUCCAUUUUCCUCCAAUUCCUUUCCUCUCCCUACUUUCCUCCUUCCUCCGUCUUCUUUUCCUUACUCUCUCUCUCUCUCUCUCUCUCUCUCCCUCUCUCUCUCUCCCUCUCUCUCUCUCUCUCUCUCUCUCUCUCUCUCUCUCUCUCUCCCUCUCUCUCUCUCUCGCAGCAUCAGAGGCCGGCCGUGAUUUAUCCCAUGAAUUUCCCAGCAUCCCUCGGGCUCUCUUUAAUCCGGGCUGAAGGGAGAUUAGCGACCUCAUCUCCCGACUCAUCUCCCGCAGUCGUUGGGGAGGAGGAGGAGGAGGAGGAGGAGGAGGAGGAGAAGUUAUAAUACGUCGGGUAACGCUUUUCAAGGGAGAGAUAGAGAGAGAGAAUGGAGGAAAGAGGGAGGGAAGGAGGCAAGGGAGGGAGAGGUUUAUAGGAGGGAAGGUUAUGUCGGAAGGGGGCUUACAGCUGUGUACGUGUGUGUGUGUGUGUGUGUGUGUGUGUGUGUGUGUGUGUGUGUGUGUGUGGUAGCGGGGAAGUGAUUGAAAAUUAUUACUACUACUACUACUACUACUACUACUACUACUACUACUACUACUACUACUACUAUGACAAUCAGCAAACUAUAUAUUUAACAGAAACUAAGACUACUAUUACUACAACUAUUAUUAUUAUUAUUAUUAUUAUUAUUAUUAUUAUUAUUAUUAUUAUUAUUAUUAUUAUUAUUAUUAUUAUUAUUAUUAUUAUUAUCGAAAACACAGCAUAACGCAUUUCACCAGAGACAUUCACGCGCUUCACAAAUUACAAAGUUAGCGAAAAUAUGAUAGUGAAUCGGGUUUAAAUUGUUUACAUGAAUUUUAACGACUAUCGGUAAUAAUGAUUUGAAUCUAACUUAAUACCACUUUUAAUCUCUGUUCUUGACCCACAAACAAAAAUCUAAUAGUUUUUCAUUUAUAUUCAAGAAGAGGUUGGAUAAAUUCAUGGAUCUGGGAUUAUCUACUGAAUAUUUUUUGGGUAAUAUUUUAAUUUCUAACUUAAUACCACUUUUAAUCUCUGUUCUUGACCCACAAACAAAAUCUAAUACCAGGUAAAGUUUUUCAUUUAUAUUCAAGAAGAGGUUGGAUAAAUUCAUGGAUCUGGGAUUAUGAACUGAAUAUUUUUUGGGUAAUAUUUUAAUUUCUAACUUAAUACCACUUUUAAUCUCUGUUCUUGACCCACAAACAAAAUCUAAUACCAGGUAAAGUUUUUCAUUUAUAUUCAAGAAGAGGUUGGAUAAAAUCAUGGAUCUGGGAUUACCAACUGAAUAUUUUUUGGGUAAUAUUUUAAUUUCUAACUUAAUACAACUUUUAAUCGCUGUUCUUGACCCACAAACAAAAUCUAAUACCAGGUAAAGUUUUUCAUAUAUAUUCAAGAAGAGGUUGGAUAAAUUCAUGGAUCUGGGAUUAUCAACUGAAUAUUUUUUGGGUAAUAUUUUAAUUUCUAACUUAAUACCACUUUUAAUCUCUGUUCUUGACCCACAAACAAAAUCUAAUACCAGGUAAAGUUUUUCAUUUAUAUUCAAGAAGAGGUUGGAUAAAUUCAUGGAUCUGGGAUUAUUAACACAAUAUUUUUUUUCCUUGCUAACGGUUUGAAUCUAACUUAAUAUCUCUUUUAUUUUCUUCUAAACUGAGUCCGCCGAUAUUUUUACUGAUCGUCGUUAAAAUUCAUGUAAACAAUUUAAAUCUAACUCACUAUUUUUUUUUUCGCUGAACUUUGUAAUUUGUGAGACAUGUUGUGCUGUGUUUGACGAUAAUAAUAAUAAUAAUAAUAAUAAUAAUAAUAAUAAUAAUAAUAAUGAAAAACAAUAUAUAUUCAUCCACAAUAAUAUUAAUAACACUAUCCAAGACCCCGGGAAUUUAUAUACGAGAAUUCAACACGUACAAAAAUCCCCGUUGAAUCAUCUCCACACAGGUAAAUUCCUCCGUACCUGGUGUUAAUUAAGGACGAAAUAGGAGUUAUGGAAGGGAGGCAGGAAGAGAAUCGGACCCCUUAAUCUAUAUACGAGAAUUCAACACGUACAAAAAUCCCCGUUGAAUCAUCUCCACACAGGUAAAUUCCUCCGUACCUGGUGUUAAUUAAGGACGAAUUCGGAGUUAUGGAAGGAAGGAAGGAAGAGAAACGGGGAGAUAGAGGAAGGAGAGAAAAUAUACUGAGAAUGUAGGAGGAAGAGGAGAGGAAGGAAGGAAGGAAAAAAGGAAAACAAGAAGAGAAAAAUAAAUUAAAAAGAGAUAUUUCCAGGGUAUUUACUCUCACUCCCAAACAACCCCGGGGAUUUAUAUAUACGAGAAUUCAACACGUGCAAAAAUCCCCGUUGAACCAUCUCCACACAGGUAAAUUCCUCCGUACCUGGCGUUAAUUAAGGACGAAUUCGGAGUUAUGGAAGGAAGGAAGGAAGAGAAACGGGGAGAUAGAGGAAGGAGAGAAAAUAUACUGAGAAUGUAGGAGGAAGAAGAGAGGAAGGAAGGAAGGAAAAAAGGAAAACAAGAAGAGAAAAUGAAAAAAAAGAGAUAUUUCUAGGCUAUUUACACUUUCACUCCCAAACAACCCCCGGGAAUUUUUAUAUACGAGAAUUCAACACGUACAAAAAUCCCCGUUGAAUCAUCUCCACACAGGUAAAUUCCUCCGUACCUGGUGUUAAUUAAGUACGAAAUAGGAGUUAUGGAAGAAAGGAAGGAAGAGAAACGGGAGAUAGAGGAAGGAGAGAAAAUAUACUGAGAAUGUAGGAGGAAGAAGAGAGGAAGGAAGGAAGGAAAAAAGGAAAAAAAUAAAAAUAAAAAUAAAAGAGAUAUUUACAAACUAUUUACACUUUCACUCCCAAACAACCCCGGCGAUUUAUAUAUCCGAGAAUUCAACACGUACAAAAAUCCCCGUUGAAUCAUCUCCACACAGGUAAAUUCCUCCAUACCUGGCUCUAAUUACCCUAAUGGCGCCCCGUGUUUACCGUCCCUAUCGACCGAGGAAACCCUAGCAGGGCCAUCAUGGGUAUUAAACGCUGGGAGGCACCAUUUAAAUUCCCCUUGACUAUAUAAAAUGUUCGUGUGUGUGCGGUAGUGUGACGGAGAUGAACACCGAGGCCGUAGAAAUGCUGUAGAAUUUAUCAUGGGAAUUUAUAAUGGACAUUGAAACCCGGGGAAUAUGUAUCUUAGUUAAAUUCCCCGAAAAUUCCUGGAGUUUUCAAUGCAUAAAUUCCGCUAACAUUCUAAUUUCAAGAUACAUUUUGUCAUAAUUCCCGAUAAUUCUUGGAUUCCAGGAGCUAUAUUUGUUUUUUUGCGGUGUGACGGAGGUGUACGCUGAGGCCACGCGUAGUGUUUAUCAUAUCUAUCUGUCGGGGAAGCCUUGAGAAUGCUGUUUGUUGGGGUGUGACGGAGGUAUGCGCUGAGGCAACGCGUAGUGUUUAUCAUAUCCUUAAGAAUGCUGUCUGCUAGGGUGUGACGGAGGUGUGCGCUGAGACCACGCGUAGUGUUUGUCAUAUCCUUAAGAAUGCUGUCUGCUAGGGUGUGACGGAGGUGUGCGCUGAGACCACGCGUAGUGUUUGUCAUAUCCUUAAGAAUGCUGUCUGCUAGGGUGUGACGGAGGUGUGCGCUGAGACCACGCGUAGUGUUUGUCAUAUCCUUAAGAAUGCUGUUUGUUGGGGUGUGACGGAGGUGUGCGCUGAGACCACGCGUAGUGUUUGUCAUAUCCUUAAGAAUGCUGUCUGCUAGGGUGUGACGGAGGUGUGCGCUGAGACCACGCGUAGUGUUUGUCAUAUCCUUAAGAAUGCUGUUUGUUGGAGUGUGACGGAGGUGUGCGCUGAGACCACGCGUAGUGUUUAUCAUAUCUAUUGGUCGGGGAACCUUAACACUGCUACCAAGGAAAUUCAUUAAGGGGAGACACCCAUUAGGUUCCAAUUGACUAGAUAAUGUCCAUGUAAUAAUUGUAAUGUAUCGGAGGUGAGCUUUGAGGCCGCGUGCAGCUAUAUCGUAUGCUUAUAACUAUAUAUUCAUUGGCGGUAAUCUUGUGUUGAUAGCUUGUUUUUUUUUUGUUUAUCGGGAAAGACAGAAUUUUUGGGGUCGUUAGAAUUUGAUAUAACAGCGAAUGGGUUCAAAAAUGCCGCCCUAUCUAAUACUAAUUCUUGCUUUAUUAUGUUUCGUAAAAAAUGCUCAAGAAUUUACCAACGGCAUUUAUUAUGUGCUUCUAAGUUAUGCAUCUAAAUUCUGGUAUAAUUCUCAUCUGCAAGUAAAUUUCGUCACAUCUCUAGAAUUUAUCAGCAGAAUUAUAUAUCAUAAAAUCCCGGUAAAAUUCUAAUCUCCAGGUAAAAUUCUUCUUAAUUCUCGAUAAUUCUUUAAAUAGCCGAGUUUUGUAUGUUUAUAUUUGCUGUGGAAGCCCUCCAGAAUUUAUCACUCAAGAAUUUAUCAGCAGAAUUAUACAUCUUAAAAUGCCGGUAAAAUUCUAAUCUCCAGGUAAAAUUCUUCUUAAUUCUCGAUAAUUCUAUAAAUACAUGAGUUUUGUAUGUUUUUUUUUGCUGUGAAAGUCCUCCAGAAUUUAUCGCUCUAGAAUUUACCAACAGAAUUAUUUAAAUGCAUCAAAACGCCGACAAAAUUCUCAUCUCCAGGUAGCAAAAAGUUAGUCUCAGAAUUUAUCGCUCCAGAAUUUAUCAACAGAAUUAUUUAUGCGCAUCAAAAUCCCGCCAAAAUUCUCUCUCCAGUUAGAAAAAAAGAUUGUCUCAGAAUUUAUCGCUCCAGAAUUUAUCAACAUAAUUAUUUAUAUGUAUCAAAACACCGACAAAAUUCUCUUCUCGUCUCGCCUGGAAUUUAUCGCUCUGGAGUUUAUUAAGAGAAUUAUAAUAUGGUAAACUCCGUGAAAAUUCUCAACUCCAGUGAAAUCUAAUCUUUUAAUGCCGCAAAUUCUGGUCCGCUAAAUUUGUGAGAACUUAAAAACUAAUGCUAGGAAUUUUUUAUAGGCCUGGAAUUUUUCAAGAGAAUUAUAUAAAGGUAAACUCCAGUGAAAUCUAAUCUUUUAAUACCGCAAAUUCUACUCCGCUAAAUUCGUGAGACCCUAAAAACUAAUGCUAGGAAUUUCUUAUAGGCCUGGAAUUUUUCAAGAGAAUUACUCCAGUGAAAUCUAAU